AGCAUGGCCCAGACGAAUGCUACUUUAACAGUAUAGAAGCCUGUGCAAUCCACCUCUGGUCAGACGUGAAGCGGCAUUUCAAGUUCAAUCAUUGUCUUGAGAGUAAACUUAUUGAAGGACUGCAGUCCUCGAAAAAAAAUGCUUGGGAAUCUUGUUGUGUAAAACUUAAGAUGGAUUCGGAUCGUUUGGGAAAGUGCUACCGCAGUGGAUAUGAGAAGAAGCAGCUUAUACUUCAAAAUGCUAAAGAAACAGACCACCUUGUUCCGCCUCAUGAGUACGUACCAUGGGUGGUUGUUAAUGGACAACUGCUAAAGGAUGAUUACCUAAAUUUUGUGAGGUAUGUCUGCAACGCUUACAAAGACAGUCCGAAACCAAUGGCUUGCAGAUCAUAUCCACACAACAUCAAUUCAGGUGGAAAGGCAAACUCGAGCCUAGAAGGAUGCUAUAAAGGUGAAGAACGCGGGGGGAGCUGAAACACUUCAGUCUGAUUCAAUAUGGUGGUUCUGCAUCAUCCAUUAAUUUGCUCUGGGGAGCAUU